rfam:Arabidopsis thaliana chromosome 3, complete sequence.
GGAUGCGAUCAUACCAUCACUAAUGCACUGGAUCCCAUCAGAACUCCACAGUUAAGCGCGCUUGGGUGAGAGUAGUACUAGAAUGGGUGACCUCCCGGAAAGUCCUUGUGUUCCAUCCC